AUAUGUACAGUAGCUACAGGUUGUAUUUUAUGGCAUUUUUUUGGUUUGUUUUGAGACAGGGUCUUGCUGUGUUACCCAGGCUGGAGUGCAGUGGCAUAAUCAUGGCUCACUGCAGCUGUGAUCUCUAGGGCUCAAGCAAUCCUCCCACCUCAGCCUCCCCAGUAACCAGGACUAUGGGCGCACCACUAUGCCAGCUACUUGGGAGGCUAAGGCAGGAGAAUGGCUUGAACAUGGGAGGUGGAGGUUGCAGUGAACAGAGGUCACGCCAUUGUACUACAGCCUGGGCAGCAGAGUGAGACUCCAUCUCAAUAAAAGAAAAAAAAAUAGGUAAGGGACCCUGAAUUUUAUGAACCCCUGAGUAAAAUGGUUUGCUCUGAGAAGUGGCAGAGAGGUGGGCAUUCUCUUCUCUUUUGCCCCUUUGUGAUCUUCUACAUUGUGCUGAAAUAUUCCUCUGCUACUGUGCCCACACCUUCUAUUUUCCAAGAUACAUAUUCUGUUUCCCUUCAGUUCAGCAGACAUAUAUUGAGCACCUACUAUUUCAAAGGCAUGGUAGAAAGCACUGGUUUUCUGAUUCACCAAUUAAUGUGAAAUUAUAACAUAAAAUAAAUCUAUAUAGUCUAUAAUAUAUGGAUUUCUAUAUGUAUAUUUUUAUAAGCAGAAUAGAGUAGCAAUUUAUAAGAAAGUGAAGUUCUAAAGCAAAUAUGUUACACGAAACCCAAUGAAAGUAAAAGUAUUCUUAAGAAGUCCUGGCCAGCACAGUGGCUCACGCCUGUAAUCCCGGCACUUUGGGAGGCCAAGGCAGGUGGAUCACCUGAAGUCAGGAGUUUGAGACCAGCCUAGCCAACAUGGUGAAACCCCAUCUCUACCAAAACAAUAUAUAAAAAUUAGCUGGGCAUUGUGGCAGGCACCUGUAAUCCCACCUACUCAGGAGGCUGAGGCAGGAGAAUCUCUUGAACCUGUGAGGCAGAGGUUGCAGUGAGCUGAGAUCACGACACUGCACUCCAGCCUGGGCAACAAGAACAAAACUUCAUCUCAAAAAAAAAAAAAAAAAAAAAAAGUUCUUAGCCUAUAAAAGCAUCCCAUAAGAGGUAGGAAGUCCGUGGGGCCACCUCAGGAAACAGCCAGCUUUCUGGGGUUAACGCUUCUUAAGACUGAGACUCACGAAUUGUGAAAUUGAGAGUCUUUCCUGUGUAUAUGCACUUAAGUGUGUGUGCCUGUGUUUUUUUCUAGAGCAGACAAUAUUUUAAAGAUGUACACAGCAAGUACAAUAAAUCACGGUCUCUUUCUUUUUUUCUCGGUUCUAAUUGCCCCAAUAAACCCACUCUCCACUCUCCAGCCAGCUGUAUUCCCCGCUGUUGGGUCUUUGAAUAGGGAUGCAUAAUGUCACAGUUCUAAGCUGCCACCUUGUGGCUGUCCCACGUAUGUGUUUUAAGCAGCCUCUUCGACAUGCCGCUUGCCUAGUUACACUAAUUUGAUGCGGUUCCUUUUGCCUUCUGCGUUUUGUGCUUCCUUCCCCAGAGUUGCUAGUUGUCCUGUCAUAGAGUCACAAAACUGGAUUAAAAUACUUGACAUCAUUUGGGAUAAGAAGUGUACUAAGGGCUUAAAAUCAUGGCAGAGUUGCACAUUGCUUUGGACUUAGUAGACACAAUUAUAUUUUUCUCCCAAAAUACUUUGUAAUCUUCAUUUUAAAGCCCCAGUAUCAAAAAAGCAACAACACAUUCCUUCCCCAAGCCUUUAUUGAGCACCUAUUAGCCACAGCCUUUGUGAGUUCCCAGCCUCAUGAUGCAACAUGUAAGGCCAUAUGGCAAUUGCAAAUAAUGCAGGUGGAUCUUUGUACAAUGGGGGCCUGGGAAAGAACUCUAGAAUCUAUCUGAAGGAGUCAGCAAUGUCUUCACAGAAGAGUCCAGGCCGAAGCUUAAGCCUGCAGGUCAGAGGACCAAGGUUGGAGACAGGUUAGACAUCUCAGACAGAAGGAAAAGAACACUAUUUUGGUGAGGAAGUCACACAUCAUUCUGGGAUUUGAUCCCCAGAGCUUUGCCAGCCCUAACAGCACUCCAGGUGCUUUUAAGAAUAUGUUACGCCAGGCACAGUGGCUCACACCUGCAAUCCCAGUGCUUUGGGAGGCCAAGACAGGAAGCCCACUUGAGCCCAGGAGUUUGAGACCAGCCUAGGCAAUAUAGUAAGACCCUGUCUCUAUUAAAAAUUUAAAAAAUUGGCCAGGCAUAGUAGCACAUUUCUGUAGUCUCAGCUACUUGGGACGCUGAGGCGAGAGGAUGGCUGAAGCCCAGGAGUUUUAGGCUGCUGUGAGCUAUGAAUGAGCCACUGCGCUCCAGCCUGGGCAAUAGAGUGGGACUUUGUGUUUCAAGUUUUUUUAAAUAAUGUAUUUAAACAUUCUUAAGAGAACCCCUCCCUUUUUACUCAAAUAAAAUAUACUGAACCAUAAGGACUUUCUGUAUUACAGUUUGACCAACUACUGCAUUACCCAAUAUUUUUGUUCUCUUCCCUUAAUAGAGUUUUUCCAUUUCACAAUUAUUCUAAAGCAAUACAUAGGGAUUUUCACAGCCCGUUCACCCUUGAAGCUGGACUGCAAAUUGGCUGACACUGUUGUCUCCAAGAAGCCACUGAAAAAAUGCACUUUUGGUACCUAGUAGUGGAGGGAAAAGGAGAGGAAAGGUCCUGUUUUCUCUUGUCUCAACAGUACAAACUCACAAAUUAGCUCACAGAGGGAUAACUUAUGGGCAGCAAACUCUUAGGAGCCUUAGAAAUUAUAAGGGGGCCACACAUUGUAGCAAGUGUUAUCUGCAUAGUAAUAAAUAACAUCCUGUCUGGGCAAGGUGGCUCACACCUGUAAUCCCAGCAUUUUGGGAGGCUGAGGUAGGUGGAUCACCUGAGGUCAGGAGUUUGAGACCAGCCUGGCCAACAUGGUGAAACGCUGUCUCUGCUGAAACUACAAAAAUUGGCCAGGCAUGGUGGUGGGCACCUGUAAUCCCAGCUCUUCAGGAGGCUGAGGCAGUAGAAUCACUUGAACCUGGGAGGUGGAGGCUGCAGUGAGCCAAGAUGGUACCACUGCACUCCAACCUGAGCGACAUAUUUUUUUGUCACAAAAAAAUAAAAAAUAAAUAACAUCCCACAAAAAUAGGAAAUAUGGUCCAAAUGUACCUAAAGGUUGGGUGAUUAAUAAAUUAUAAAUCCAUUUAGAGUUGUUAGUGGAGUCAUAGGACUGUAUAUUUGCCCAAAUGUUAAAAAUCAGCUACUCUGAGACUUUCUUCUUUUUUUUUCUUUUAAAGACGGGAUUUCACCAUGUUGGUUAGGCUGGUCUUUUUUUUUUUAAAUUUUUUAUUGGAUUUUAGGUUUUGGGGUACAUGAGCAGAGCAUGCAAGACAGUUGCGUAGGUACACACAUGGCAGUGUGCUUUGCUUUUCUUCUCCCCUUCACCCACAUUUGGCAUUUCUCCCCAGGCUAUCCCUCCCCACCUCCCCCUCCCACUGGCCCUCCCCUUUUCCCCCCAAUAGACCCCAGUGUUUAGUACUCCCCUUUCUAUGUCCAUGUGUUCUCAUUUUUCAUCACCCACCUAUGAGUGAGAAUAUGCGGUGUUUCAUUUUCUGUUCUUGUGUCAGUUUGCUGAGGAUGAUGUUCUCCAGAUUCAUCCAUGUCCCUACAAACGACACAAACUCAUCAUUUCUGAUUGCUGCAUAAUAUUCCAUGGUGACACCUUACACCCAAAUUAACUCCAGAUGGAUUAAAGACUUAAACAUAAGACCUGGCACCAUAAAAACCCUAGAAGGAAAUCUAGGCAAAACUAUCCAGGACAUAGGAGUAGGCAAGGACUUCAUGAACAAAACACCAAAAGCAUUGGCAACAAAAGCCAAAAUAGACAAAUGGGACCUAACGAAACUCCACAGCUUCUGCACGGCAAAAGAAACAGUCACUAGAGUGGAUCGGCAACCAACAGAAUGGGAAAAAAUUUUUGCAGUUUACCCAUCUGACAAAGGGCUGAUAUCCAGAAUUUACAAAGAACUCAAACAGAUUUACAGGAAAAAAACAAACAAGCCCAUUCAAAAGUGGGUAAAGGAUAUGAACAGAUACUUUACGAAAGAAGACAUAUAUGAGGCCAACAAUCAUAUGAAAAAAUGCUCAUCGUCACUGGUCAUCAGAGAGAUGCAAAUCAAAACCACAUUGAGGUUAGGCUGGUCUUAAACUCCCGACCUCAGGUGAUCCCCCCACCAUGGCCUCCAAAGUGCUUGGAUUACAGGCGUGAGCCACCAUGCCCAGCCUACUCUGAGCUUUCCACGGAAGACGAUUAAAAAAAAAAAAAAAAAUCAGCUACUCAUGUAGAGAGGUCUCAGAAAUUUAUUGAGCUUCAAAAUUUUACCAUGCUGGACAAGACUGGAAGCACUAGUUUAGUUUUGUACAACAUUUUUGUCUAGUUAAAGCCUCCUUUUCCCUCAGAUCUGGUUUUAACUGAGAUCUUUUCUGUGACCUCCCGACAUAAUCAAAUUGUGCUAUUAUGUGCUCUCAUGGCAUCAUAGCACUUAACACAGCUGGAGUUUUCAAGUUGAGUGUGGAUAUAGAAUGCUCUCUCCCGCUACUGUAAAAUGUCAUACAGGCAGGGCUUAUGUCUUUCUGCUAAAUAUUGUCUGUCUAGGGUUCAGCACAGUUUCUAGCACACACUAAUAACUCAUUCAAUGAAUAAGUACAAUAAGCUAAAAGGUCCUGUGUCCCAGUCCUGGGAGAUAAAUCUAGGGAUGACAUGUCAAAGUAAACCAUCUAAAGGUCUUGAUAGCUGGUAGAUCUCUACAGAGACCUAGACCCAGAAGUAGGUCUCCUAGGAAGGAGACCUAGAUAUGUAGAAGAAGGGAAAUGUGGAGUUCAUAAACUUAUACCGUUUGACAGCAAAAAUCAAGGGCAAUUCCACAUUUUAUGGACAGCUCUGUGUGUUAGAGCUUUAGAUUAGGAACUAUGUAGUAGAUUCAAGUUCUGGAACUACCUACCAUCAAUAUGACAUAUAACCUUGGAGUAGACAUCUAACUUUAUCUACCAUGAAUUAGAUUCUUGAUAUGUAAAAUGGAGAUGAUAUCUGCCCUAUCUACAUCAUUGUGAAAAUCAGACAAAAUGAUGGACCCAAAAGUACAGUGAAAUUAUAGAGUAUUUGAUAAAUGUAAGGGGGGCAUUUUUUUUCUAAAUACAAUUAAGUCCUCACUUAACAUCAUCAAUAAAUUCUUAGAAACUUCAACUUUAAGCAAAACAAAAUAUUUAAAAACCAAUUUUACCAUAGGCAAAUUGACAUAAACAAUAGUUUCUUGUGACAAAGUUCUGGUCACAAAAACAUCACCAACUUCUAAAUAAAGACCCAAAACACUUCUAAUAUUACACAUUGAAAUAAAUGUGAGGUAUACCUACCUUUAAGAAAGAUUAAUAAAAACAAGUAAUAUAAGUAUCCAACUUUUGGUGAAUCGGUGAGUGAUGGGGGUUGCAGUAGCUGUUGAUUAAAUCAAGGAAUAAGUGGUUGCAAAGCAGAAAAUAUCGGAGCACUUCCUACCACCAAGCAGCUCAAAAACAAUCACAAACGUGGCAGGCUCAUUAUGCACUUUUAUCUUGCAUUGUUUAUUUUCACACAUGUAUUAGUCUGUUCUCACGCUGCUAUAAAGAAUUGCCUGGCCAGGCAUGGUGGCUCAUGCCUGUAAUCCAAGCAACUUUAGAGGCCAAGGCAGGAGGAUCACCUGAGGUUGGGAGUUCAAGACCAGCCUGACCAACAUGGUGAAACCCCGUCUUAAAAAAAUAAUAAUAAUAAUUUAAUUUAAAAAAAAAAAAACUGCCCAAGACUGGGCAAUUUAUAAAGGCAAGAGGCUUAAUUGACUCACAGUUCCACAGGGCUGGGGAGGCCUCAGGAAACUUACAAUUAUAUCAGAAGGGAAAGCAAGCGCAUCCUUCUUCACAGGGCAGCAGGAAGAAGUGCCAAAGGGGGAAGCCCCUCAUAAAACCCAUCCGAUCUCAUGAGAACUCACUAUCACAAGAACAGGAUGGGGGAACUGCCCCCAUGAUUUAAUUAUCACCACCUGGUCCUGUCCUUGAUAUGUGGGGAUUAUUACAAUCCAAGGUGAGAUUUAGGCGGGGACACAGUCAAAUCAUAUCAGUGCAGUCACAUGAUUUUUAUAUAUCUUGUGAAUUUUUUUUACUAUCAUAUGUAUUCAUUCCUUUAUUCAUUUUUCAUGCUCUUAUUUCUGUUCUGGCUCACAUAUGGCUGGAUUCUCUUCCAGAAGCUUGGGGUGCAAGGUGGGAACCAACCGUGGAGUGAAUGUCAUUCCAUCACAGGACACACUCAUAAAUACCCACAUACUCACUCCAAGGGGGACCACGUAGAAACACCAAUUAACCUAAUGUGUACAGCUUUGAGAUUUGGGAGGAAACUAGAGUAUUCAAAGAAAACCCACACAGACAUGAGGAGGAUGCGGAAACCAUACACAGAUGGUAGUCCCCAUUGGGAAUCCAUUUUUUCAACAUUACAACAAAACCAUGUUAACAAAGUCAUGGUAUUUGAAGCCCUGCUAUACUUCAUUUUUAUUAUUCUCCUCUUCAGCUUCUCAUAAUUUAUAAAACAUUCUUUAUCUUUCCUUUCUAAACCUUCAGUUUUUUCCCAUUUCUCUAUUUUGUGUGUGUGUGUUUGUGUGUGUGUGUGUGUGUGUGUGUGUGUGUGUGUGUGUGUGUGUGUGCUGCAUGAUCACAGCUCACUGCAGCCUCAACCUCCUGGGCUAAAGCAAUCCUCCCACCUUAGCCUCCUGAAAAGCUAGGAAGCUAGGACCACAGGCACAUAUCACCAUACCUGGCUAAUUUUUUAAAAAUUUUGUCUGAACAGUGUUUGAGGGGGAUUCUCACACAAAAAGAAAUUUGUAAAGACAGGAUCUUGCCAUGUUGCCCAGGCUGCUUUAGUUUCUAUAGUUUUUCUGAAUAUUGUCUACCUGUUAACUGUCAUCAAUUAUGCAUCUUAAUAAUGACCUAAAAUGAACCCAAUUUCUCAAUGGUCCCAUAAAGACUAUUCAUUUUAAUGCUUAGUAGCUCAGUGAAAAAAAAAAAAAGAAAGAAAAUAUGCCAUCAAAGAAGUAAAAGGAAAAAGAAUGAAAAGGAAUGAAGACCACCCACAAGAUAUAGAAAAUUAGCUCAAAAUAUCAAAUCUAAGGAUUUUUGGCAUUCAAGAGGGAGCUGAACACAAGCAAGAGAUAGAAAGCUUAUUCAAAUAAAUAAGAGAAAACUCUCAUGGUAACCACAGUACAAAAACCUAUAAUAGAUUUACUAAAAACAGGGCGUGGUGGCUCAUGCCUGUAAAUCUAAGCACUUUGGAGGCCAAGGUGGGUGGAUCACCUGAGGUCAGGAGUUCAAGACCAGCCUGACCAACAUGGUGAAACCCCGUCUUAAAAAAAAAAAUUUACUAAAAAUAAAAUACAAAAAAUUAAAAUAUACUACCAGAGAGAAUCACUUAGCCACAAAGAAAGAAAAUAAGUAAGGAAAAGGGGAAGAGAGGAAUCUUAACCAGAAAACAAGCAAUAAAAUGGCAGUUAUAAACCCCUAUUUAUCAAUAAUAGUGCUGAAUGUGAAUGGUCUAAAUUAAAGGGUGUAGAGUGCCUGCAUAGAUAAAGGAAUAUAUAGAUAUCCAGGUACAGGAAAGCCUUAGAACAAAUCUAUUGAUUUAACCCAUAUAAGACUAACCCAAGGCAUAUAACAAUCCAAAUCUCAAAGGUCAAAGGCAAAGAAAGGAUCUAAAAGCAGCAAAAGGAAAGGAGCAAAUAACAUACAAAGGAGCUCCAAUUCAUCAACAGACCUCUAACAGAAAUCACACAGGCCAGGAGGGAAUGGAAUGAAAUUUUCAAAGUGCUCAAAUUAAAAAAAAACAACAUUAUUGCAUAAAGCAAAAUUUCUCAUUCAAAUAUGAAGAAGAAAUAAAGUCUUUUCUAGACAAACAAAAGUUGCCAGAAUUGAUUAACACCAGACCCAUCAUGCAAGAAAUGCUAAAGGAAGCUCUUCAAUCUGCAAGGAAAACAAAAACACACUAAUAUGACAAAGGAAACAUUUCAAGGCAUAAACCAUGUUAAAAUUAAGUACACAAACAAACCCAGAAUGCUUUAUUAGUGAGUUUGUGGUGUGCAAUCCACUCAGAACUCUAUUAUGAAGCCCAAAAGAUAAAUAUAUUCAAAAACAAUAAUAGCUACAGCAACCUGUUAAGAGAUAGGUAAUAUAAAAAUAUAUAAAUUGAGACAAAUAAAUCAAAAUGGAGGAGGGGAUAGAGUUUAAGAACAGAAUUAUGUGUAUGUGCUUUUCUUGGCCUUUGUUUGCUUCUAUUUUUUUAUUUGUAACCUCAGAUAAGUUAUCAACUCUUUAAAAUAACUUGUUACAUUUUCUGUAAGCCUCAUGGUAACCACAGUACAAAAACCUAUAAUAGAUUUACUAAAAAUAAAAUACAAAAAUUAAAACAUGCUACUAGAGAGAAUCGCUUAGCCACAAAGAAAGAAAAGGAAGGAAAAGGGGAAGAGAGGAGUCUCAAAACAACCAGAAAACAAGCAACAAAACUGCAGUUAAAAGCCCCUGUGUAUUAAUAAUAGCGCCGAAUGUGAAUGGUGUAAAUUCUCCAAUUAAAGGGUAUAAAGUGCCUGCAUGGAUAAAGAAACAUGACCCAACUACAUUCUGCCUUCAAGAAACCCACUUUACCUAGAAAGACAUACACAGAUUGAAACUGAAAGGGUGAAAAAAUAUGUUCCAUGCAUUACAAACCCAAAAAGAGCAGGAAUAGCAAUUAUACCAGAUAAAAUCAGAUGAAAUACUUACAUGACACAAAUCAAAUACUACAAAAAAAAAAGACAAAGAAGGUUACUAUUUAAUGACAAAGGGGUCAGUUCAGCAAGAGAAUAUAACAGUUAUAAAUAUUUAUGCCAACUAACACCAGAGCCUCCAGGUAUAUAAAGCAAACACUAAUAGAUCUAAAGGAAGGGCCAGCCAUAGUGGCUCAUGCAUGUAAUUCAACACUUUGGGAGGCAGAGGUGGGAGGAUUGCUUGAGGCCAAGAGAGUUCAAGAGCAGCUUGGGCUGAGCAUGGUGGCAUGUAUGUGCCUAUAAAUCCUAGCAACUUGGGAGGCUCAGGUGGGAAGAUCACUUGAGCCCAGGAGUUUGAGGCUGCAGUUAGCUAUGAUCAUGCUACUGCACAACAGCCUGGGUGACAGAGCAAGACCCUGUCUCAAAAAAUAAGAAACAGAUCUAAAGGGAGAGAUAAACUGCAAUAUAACAAUAGUAGGGAACUUUAAUACCCAAUCUCUGUAAUGGACAGACCAUCCACAUUAUCUACAAAGAACCAGUGGAGUUAAACUUCACACUAGAUCUAAUAGGCCUAACUAAUGUUUACAGAACAUUUCACUCAAUGGCUGCAGAAUACAGGAAUAUUCUCCAGAAUAGAUCAUCUUUUAGGCCACAAAACAACAAAUUUUUAAAAAUACAGAUCUUGUCAAGUAUCUCUUCUGAUCACAGUGGAAUAAAACUAGAAACCAAUAACAAAAGGAACCUUGGAAAAUCCACAAAAACAUGGGAAUUAAAUAACAUGCUACUGAACAACCAAUGGGUCAAUGAAAAAAUUAAGAAGAAAAUUAAAAAUUUUCUUGAAACAAAAGAAAAUGGAAAUACCACAUACCAAAAUCUGUGAGAUAUGGAAAAAGUAGUACUAAGGAGGUAAGAUUACAGCAAUAAAUGCCUAUCUUAAAAAAAAAUAGAGGCUGGACGCGGUGGCUCAUGCCUUGAAUCCCAACACUUUGGGAGGUGGAGGCAGGAAGAUCACCUGAGGUCAGGAGUUCAAGACCAGCCUGACCAAAAAGGAGAAACCCCAUCUCAACUAAAGAUACAAAAUUAGAUAGGUGCGGUGGCAUAUGCCUGUAACCCCAGCUACUUGGGAGACUGAGGCAGGAGAAUCACUUGAACCUGGGAGGCAGAGGUUACAGUGAGCCAAGAUCACACCACUGCACUCCAGCCUGGGCAACAAAAGCAAAACUCCGUCUCAAAAACAAAAAGGUAGAAGACUUCAAAUAAAUAACAGUGCACCUCAAGGAACUAGAAAAGCAAGAGCAAACCAAACCUAAAAGUAGAAGUAAUAAAGAUCAGAGCAGAAUAAAUGAAAUUGAGACUAAAGAAAAUACAGAAGGUCAACAAAACAAAAAGUUGUUUUCUGAAGAUAAGCAAAAUCAAUGAACCUUUAGCUAGACUAAAAAAAAGAGAGAAGAUCCAAAUAAACAAAAUCAGAAACAAAAAAGGGGACAUAACAACUGAGAACUCAGAAAUAGAAUCAUUAGAGACUAUUAUGAACAACUAUAUGCCAACAAUUGAAAAGCCUAGAAGAAAUGAAUAAAUUCCUGGACACAUAUAUAACUUAUCAAGAAUGAAUCAAGUAGAAAUAGAAAACUUCAACAAACCAAUAACAAGUAAUAAGACUGGCCCGGCGCAGUGGCUCACAACUGUAAUCUCAGCACUUUGGGAGGCCGAGGCGGGUGGAUGACUUGGGGUCAGCAGUUCAAGACCAGCCUGGCUAACAUGAUAAAACCCCAUCUGUACUAAAAAUACAAAAAAAAAAAAAAUUAACUAGGCAUGGUGACAUGUGCCUGCAAUCCCAGCUACUCCGGAAGCUGAGGAAUGAGAAUCACUUGAACCCAGAAGGUGGAGGUUGCAGUGAGCCAAGAUCAUGCCACCACACUCCAGCCUGGGUGACACAGUAAAACUCUGUCUCAAAAAGAAUUAAAAAAUAAAAUUUUGACCCUUAAGUACAAGUCUUUUUUUACUAUUCUGGAAAACAAAAUGGGAAAGACACACAAAGCACAUUUCCUGCAUAAGGAGAUACAAUGGUUGUCUCAAGAAAAUAUGCUUGUGCAAAUUAUAUUGAGUUAGGAGCUCAACCAACUUGUUUUAUCUCAUGGCAUGGCCACUUUUACUUAAAAGAGUGACUGGCAAAAUAUUUAGAUGUGCGUAUUUGGAGGGAGGAAAUCAUCAUGACACUUCAAGGCAACAACCAUUUGUUGUCAAAGAUAAAAUUUGAGAUUUUAAGCAAAAAUCACAAUUUUGUAAGCUUCCUGGCUUCCCAAUUUUUAAAGACUGAUGAGAUCAAUGGUGAUAUUAAAAUAAUUGCUAUAGGCCGGGCAUGGUGGCUCACGCCUAUAAUCCCAGCACUUUGGGAGGCCGAGGUGAGUGGAUCACGAGGUCAAGAGAUCGAGACCAUCCUGGUCAACGAGGUGAAACCCUGUCUCUACUAAAAAUACAAAAAUUAGCUGGGUAUGGUGGUGCGUGCCUGUAGUCCCAGCUACUCGGGAGGCUGAGGCAGGAGAAUUGCUUGAACCCAGAAGGCGGAGGUUGCAGUGAGCCAAGAUCGUGCCAUCGCACUCCAGUCUGGGUAACAACAGCGAAACUCCGUCUCAAAAAAAAAAAAAAUUGCUAUAGUAUAAAAAGUGAGUCAAUAUUUAGAAGAUCUCCAUAACUCAGUGCACCAUCUUUUGACCGACCACUACAUAAUGCUAUGCAAUCAUGCUAAAAGAUUCAUUCAAAUACAAGAUCUAUGGAUUUUCCUGUUAAGUGUACACAAAGUUUGAUAUGGUUCAGAUUAAAACCAACUUUUAAGAAGUUACUAUUUGUUCAGGAGGUUGUGGUUUUGAUGUAGUAUGUAAGAAUAUCCAGCCAACCCUCUUUUCUUUUAAAGAGAUGGGGUUUCACCAUGUUGGCCAGGAUGGUCUCGAUCUCCUGACCUUGCGAUCUGCCUGCCUCAGCCUCCCAAAGUGCUGGGAUUACAGGUGUGAGCCACUGGGCCCAGCCCCAGCCAACAUUUUCUGGAAUUUUUUUGGUUGUCUUUUGUUGUUGUUUUGUUUAAGACAGGGUUUUGCUCCGUCACCCAGGUUGGAGACUAAGUAGCACAAUCAUAGUUGACUGCAACCUUGACCUCACUGGGCUCGAGAGAACCUCCCACUUCAGCCACCUUAGGUAGCUGGGACUACAGGCACACACCACCAUACCCAUUUAAUUUUUGUAUAUUUUUUGUAGAGACAAGGUCUUAUCACAUUACUCAGACUGGUUUCAAACUCCUGAGCGCAAACCAUUUGCUCACCUCGGUUCCCAAAGUGCUGGGAUUACAGGUGUAAACCACCAUUCUGGGCCUGUUAUCUUUUUUUAAAGGUUACUAAAAUAUUCCUGCCUCUUCCAACAACAUUAUCUGUAUAAGAUUAGAUUAUCUUCAUAUCCUUCAAGCAAAAUAACCUACAAUAGAUUCAAUGCCAAUGCAGAUAUGAACAACCUAGCUGUCUUCCCUUAAUCUAGACAUUUGAGAGAUCUACUGAAUAUUUUUGCAAGUUAUUCUCCAUUACAAAUGUUAAUGAGUAGCAACCAGAAUCAUCAAAACCAGACUGUCUGGUCCAAGAAAGUAGGCUCAGUUGUUUUAAUGCUUGGUCUUCUGGUAAAGAUCUAUCCAAACCCCUUCUGUAUAUCUGCUGCAACCUCUUUGUUUCUAUUGGUGGCUUCAGACCCUAUCCCAGAAAAGAGUCUUUAAAUACUUAUUAAAAUCUCAUACUUCCCAUUAUUUGAAGGAGCCUAGCAAAAAAUAAAAUAGAAAAAUGUUAUGCUUACAAAAAAUGCCUUGAAAAGAAAACAUCCAGGCUGAGGCAGGUGACUGGUGACUCAUGUCUAUAAUUCCUGCUCUUUGGGAGGCCAGGGUGGGCAGAUUACCUGAGGUCAGGAGUUUGAGACCAGCGUGGCCAACAUGUCAAAACCCCAUCUCUACUAAAAUACAAAAAUUACCUAGGUGUGGUGGCAUGUGCCCGUAAUCCUAGCUACUCAGGAGGCUCAGGCAGGAGAAUCGCUUGAACCUGGGAGGCAGGGGUUGAAGUGAGCCAAAGUCACGCCACUGUACUCCAGACUGGGCAAUGGAGCAAGACUCCAUCUCAAAAAAUGUAAAACAAAAAUCCAUCCAGGCCCGGCAUGAUGGCUCACGCCUGUAAUCCCUGCACUGUGGGAAGCCAAGGCAGGCAGAUCACUUAGGGCCAGGAGUUUGAGACCAGCCUGACCAACAUGGUGAAACCCAUCUCUACUAAGAAUAUAAAAAUUAGCUGAGUGUGGAGGUACACGCCUGUAAUCCCAGCUACUCAGGAGGCUGAGGCAGGAGAAUCACUUGAACCAGGAUUUGGAGGUUGCAGUGAGCAGAGACUGCACCACUGCAGAGACUGCACCAGCCUGAGUAAUAGUGAAACACUGUCUGAAAAAAAAAGAUAAAA